UCCCUGGUGGUCCAGUGGUUAGGACUUGAUGCUUUCACUGCCAAGGCCCAGGUUUGAUACCUGGUCAGGGAA